CUGUGAAGCCGUGUUCGGACCCCGAAACGAGUAAGGACCUCUCACCCUAUUUUCUAUCACGGUAUUAAAGCUUAAUAAAUAAUUAAACGGUAUUUUGAGACUUUAUAGAUGUAUAAUUGAUUGAGGUUGCCAAUGGAGCCCGAGUCUGAUACAAUGUUGGUCUGUUAUUGUUUGAUCUAAUUUUCAGUAUUAAAUGCAGUAUGAGGUUUGAUAUUUUCAUUUUAUAGUUUCGUGUGCAUAUUUUACUGUUUUAUUGAUUAUUGGUUGAAU
rnacentral:lncRNA from 1 species